GACGAAGGGGGCUAGCGUUGCUCGGAAUUACUGGGCGUAAAGGGAGCGUAGGCGGAUAGUUUAGUCAGAGGUGAAAGCCCAGGGCUCAACCUUGGAAUUGCCUUUGAUACUGGCUAUCUUGAGUACGGAAGAGGUAUGUGGAACUCCGAGUGUAGAGGUGAAAUUCGUAGAUAUUCGGAAGAACACCAGUGGCGAAGGCGACAUACUGGUCCGUUACUGACGCUGAGGCUCGAAAGCGUGGGGAGCAAACAGG
rnacentral:rRNA from 1 species